rnacentral:tRNA from 1 species
ACUCCCGUAGUGUAGUAGUCAAGCACCUUGGACUUUGAAACCCAAGAACCCAGGUUCAAAUCCUGGCGGGAGUACCA